GCCUCCAUGUCGUCAUGCAUUGCAUUCUGGGCUCCUCCAUCUUAGAUUUUUCUUCUAUGGAUCGAAUUCGAGGUAUCAAAAUUCCAACAAUAUCUACCUCAACUCUAUAUUUGGCCUCCAUCUGACUUUGAGAGCUUCUGAAUCUUCUCGCCCCCAUGCCCUGAGGCAUAUGCUUGCUACUCAUGGAUGGGCAAACAUG
rnacentral:lncRNA from 1 species